rnacentral:lncRNA from 1 species
UCUUAUCGUUGUGUGGGCCAUGAAGCUGGCCACCAACAAGUGGAGCAGAGAGGCCUUCAAAAAAUCAACCCUGCUGAUACUCCAAGACUCCGGAAAACAAACGGUGGCCACAUGACUGAAGAAUGGUGUAGAGCUUUCAAGAUGGCUCAGCAGGUGUAUGUAGAAGCAGUCAUCAGGGACCACACUAUGAAGACUGCAUACUCAGGAUGAUGGACAACAACAGAAGAGGGACCUGGUUUUGACAUCAUGGCAUCCUGGGCUAUGGGCUACACCUCCACUUUCCUCUAUGGAGAGACUAAAUACUGUCUUAGUAAAUUCCAGCUGCUAUAUAAUAAAAAUUGCAUAGAUU